GGAAAGAUGGUCGAGCGGUCGAAGGCGCACGCCUGGAGCGCGUGUGACGGGGUUCCCCGUCCGUGGGUUCAAAUCCCACUCUUUCCGCCA
rnacentral:tRNA from 1 species